rnacentral:rRNA from 1 species
GACGAACGCUGGCGGCGUGCUUAACACAUGCAAGUCGAACGGAAAGGCCCUGCUUUUGUGGGGUGCUCGAGUGGCGAACGGGUGAGUAACACGUGAGUAACCUGCCCUUGACUUUGGGAUAACUUCAGGAAACUGGGGCUAAUACCGGAUAGGAGCUCCUGCUGCAUGGUGGGGGUUGGAAAGUUUCGGCGGUUGGGGAUGGACUCGCGGCUUAUCAGCUUGUUGGUGGGGUAGUGGCUUACCAAGGCUUUGACGGGUAGCCGGCCUGAGAGGGUGACCGGCCACAUUGGGACUGAGAUACGGCCCAGACUCCUACGGGAGGCAGCAGUGGGGAAUAUUGCACAAUGGGCGGAAGCCUGAUGCAGCAACGCCGCGUGCGAGAUGACGGCCUUCGGGUUGUAAACCGCAUUCGCCUGUGACGAAGCGUGAGUGACGGUAAUGGGUAAAGAAGCACCGGCUAACUACGUG